UACGGAGCCAUCGCUUGCAUUGUGCCGUCAGAGGUCUUUCUGCGUGUGUCUGUACAUGCUCUGUGCCCACAUAAGCGAAAUACGCAUUGGAAAGCGAACAGCAUGAACCUCCAACCAUUUCGAAUCGUGCAGCCGCUCUCCCGCGUCCUUCAUCGCACCAUGCAUCAACUGUUGUGUGAGCCGCAGCAGACCUUGCCACCCGCCGUGACCGACGCGCUUAUCACGUACUCCCUCUACGAGCAGGUGCCACAUGCGGAGCUGCUGAAGACCCUCCUGAAUGGGUUGAAGCGGGCCCAGCAUGGGGAUGCCGUGCUGAGCAGCGACGAUCUUUUUCUGCCCUUGAAAGCGGUGCGGCGCGCACUCGCCGGUGUGCAGCAGUUCCCUCUCACCACAGCUGAGCUGACGACGUUAAAGCGCGAUGUGGAGGUGGGUGUGGUGCGCGACAUAACGCGGCUGUCCACAGACGACCUCUCCUCUGCCGAUGUGGGGCUGCUCUGGGGAUGCGCCACUCAGUGUUCACAGUGGGACUGCGUGGAAGAGCUUCUCCGGCACUUCCCGCUGUCGCGCACGCUCAGCUUGCAGAGCGCGAGUGAGUACCGGGACUUGCUGAUCGGAGUGUGCACCCCGCAGUUUGUGUCGCAGGCUCAUCCGCGCAGUGCUGACGGCGAAGACGGGGGCGCUGCGGCGCCCGCGGAGAAGGACAAUGCGGCCCCUACCGUACGCCAUGCUGAGGCGUUCAUACAACGCAUUCUCGGUGUUGAAACGGUGUGGCAGCGAUGUCGCGAGGCGCUGGAGGCAAGCUCGCUGCCGCUCCUCGUGAGCGGCGGCUCGUUGGCAGACUCGGCUGCGCUGGAAGAGCGAGACAUGCACGCCAUCGCGUGCGUCAUGUGCGCUGCCACGCUCGAGAUGCAGUGUGACAUGCCGGCUGACUCGGCCCUCGCCUUUCCGUUCUCCGCGGCUGAGUGGGCGCAGUAUGUCGGUGGUGGGGACGGCAGUGCAACUGGCAGCAGCGGUACUCAGUGCGUGCGGCCGAGCACGAUUGGGGGGCUGUCGCUUCCUGUGUGGUACCGCCGGAUGGUCGCCCUGCAUCAGCGCUGCGUCCCAGACUUUGUGCGCGCCUCCUUCGCGGCUGCCGUGGCGGACGACCUGCUGCGGCUGUACCAGCGCAUCGACACGGAGUCGUUGGAGACAUUCUUUUUGUCGUUCCUGCCGCUGGUGAUCGCUGCGGCGCCGCGCAUGGACUGCAGGACUGCUUUGCGCGGUUAUCACAACGACGUCAUGUCGAAACUCUUCUGCACGACGCCGUCGGCUUCCUCUGCCACCAGCGGUGGAGGCGAUCGCGCUGCAGCAACGGGGCGGCGCGGCAAGUGGGCUGUCAAUGAUGCCUCAGUUUUGGCGGCACCAGCGUCUGGGACUGCGGCCGCCUCCUUUGCGCUCUCUGCUGACAUGGUGAUGCGAGUGAUGUUGGCGGAGGUUUGCAUCCAGGAAAAGGGGAAGCCGCUGCCGGAAGCCCACGUGCCGGCAAUGGAGUCGAUGCUGCGCACCGUGGUGGGCCAUCUGCGCCGUCACCUACGGAGUGAGUCGCGGUCUCGCGUGGUGCCGCAGUAUAGCGUCACUGCCGCCGAGCCUCCCGCGUCGCUGUGGAAAGCAUGGAAUUCGCACCGCACCUCGCUGCUGGCGAUUGUGCUCAGCGAGGUGCAGGAGCGCAUGUCCGGCAGUGCUGGACAGGGGUCCGCGUCGACAGUUAUGAACCUCGCUGGGCAAGGCCUUCAGCUGCUCCGCCCGCUCAUAUCGAUGGAGGUGAUAGACGAACGCGGAACGGCGCGGAUGGUGACUAACCUUCUGUCUUCUGGCAGAGGUGCUGCGCUCGAGAUCGGUGGUGCCGCGUACGAGGCGGAGCUGCAGUCCUUUGCGCUGAAGCACGUGCAAGACGGUUUUGCGCGCACCGACGUGGCGGCCAUUGUGCAAACCAUGGAGAAGCACCUGGGCCACGGCUGCAACAAUGGUGGUGCUGGGGGCGAUGCAAAGGUGCUGUGCGCCUUGGAGGGGCUGAAGGCGGCUGAGCUGACGCUACCGUUGCGAUCGUGGUCAUAGGCGCGAGAGACGCCGGGCGUGUGUGUGUGUGCCUUGCGUGCAUUCUUUCUUGCGGCCAGUGCACCCGGAGGCACACGCACACACACAUACGCACAGAGGGUUUUG
rnacentral:misc_RNA from 1 species